rnacentral:lncRNA from 1 species
CCAGCUGCCAAGAGUCCCAGUCACCAGGCCACCCUAAGUCCCAGCCCUUGAGGGUCCAUGAGACUGGGGCAGCAGCAGGGGCAGGUACAGAGCACCUCAGCCGCCUCUCCACCUGACAGCAACAUCAAAGCCGAGGCCAAGGCGGGAGGGCCCAGAGUGAGACACCUCUUCCAGACAAGACUUGGUCGCUGCCUCCUCCUCUGUCACCCUGCGACACAGCCCAGAGUACCAGGCGGCUGGAGCACUGGGGGACACCCGGACAGAACCCUCCCUGGACCAAGUCCUCCAGGAACGGGAUGAAGCCAUUGCCAAGAAGCAGGCGGUGGAGGCGGAGCUGCAGAGAUGCAAAGCCAGGCUACACGCCAUGGAGGCCCAGCUGCUGGAGGUCCUGGAGGAGAAACUGAGGCUGAGGCGGGAGCUGGAGGCCUGGGAGGAGGACGUGCAGCAGCUGGUGUGGCAGCAGGUCCAGAAUCAGCUGCAGAGAGAGGCCAAGGGUACUCGGGGAGCCCACGUGGACCCUGGAGCUGCCAGCACCCCCCGAUCCAGAUUCUCCCUGGG